CUACGUUAAAGAGGACCAGGAGGACCCAGAGCCCCCCUACGUUAAAGAAGACCCAGAGCCCCCCUACGUUAAAGAGGACCCAGAGCCCCCCCCACGUUAAAGAGGACCAGGAGGACCCAGCGGUGGAAUCUCACGAGCAGAGCAAGAAGCACAGAGACUAGCGAAGGCCGCCAGCAGCCCGCGGGGCUAGCUGCUGCUCCGCCGCCAGCAACGACGUCAACGCUACAACGCUGGAGGUCACCGGAGGAAAUCCAGCGCCGUGCAACAAAGAGCUCAUCACCGAAGUCCAACAGGCCGGCGCGUUCUUCAUUCUGUUCCACGAGACUCUGGACCAGACCACCGCGAGCAGACAGCUGGACUUCAUGUGCGUUAUUGGUGAAAUGACCACGUCCCGUCAGGAUCCUAUGGAGCUCAUGGGCCAUGACACCACAGGACCUACUGCAGCACCUCAAAGAGAAUGGACCAAAUGUCAACUGGAAGUUUUUAUAUUAAUACAGUUUGAAAAGGAUUGUUUUCCUAGUAUAUUCACAAAAGCUCAGGAGUAGACAUGAACCUGUGCACAAACAUAGAGACAUGAGAACUCACUCACUCACACACACAUUCUAUUAUGUAAAUGAAUUAGCAUUUUAAAAGCAGCUGGAAUUGUUAUUUGUUAUUUUAUAGAUUAUUUUUUUCAAAAGGAACUAUGUUGCACGUAUUUUAAAAAUAUAUUUACUUAAUUUUAUAGACAUUUGUUCAUGGGACUUAAAUGUUCUGAAAAUGUAUUAAUAAAUAUAAUUUACAACAGCAAUGACAUUUGUGUUAUCCUUUUGCAUUACACCAUCCUGUUAAUUUUGAACAGACAUCAGUGUGUUUACUUUGAAUUAAUUAAUUUAGAUUCAUGUAUAUUUCCAUCGUAAGUUAGGUCUUAAAUUUUAUUUAGACGUGGUCUUAAAAAGUCUUAAAUUUCACUGGUUUAUUCCUGUAGACACCCUGUGGCGGUGCAGUACCACAAAGGCUGUUAUAAUCAGUACACCAGGUUUUUGAUGAGGCCUGAAAAACCAGAGAAAGACCAGAUUGAGCCCACGUUUGAUGUCAGCUAUAAGAUAUUCUGUGAGAGGAUCAUUGGCCAAAGGCUGCUUGUCAACCAAGAGGUGCUGAGGAUGGGCUGAGGAAGGCCUUCAUUGAACUGGGGAAAGCAAAUGAAGGUCUUGAUGCUUCAAACUACAGGGAACUGCAAUGCAUUUUCCCCUCACGUCUUAUUAUUUGUCAUGUGCAAGUCCAGCUUUACACAACAUGUGUGUGACAGGCCUGGGAAACUGUUUUUAAUUCUUGCUGUUUGCACAAACAUGUACCAGUUGGUAACGAGGAGAAGUGUGUGUGCGUGAUGUUGUGUGCCUUUCUUGGGCAUCUUUGGUGUUACAUGUGCUGUAUGGCAGAUAGGUUCUAGCCUGUAAUGUCUUGUACCACCUGCACCACUCUCUGCUUUUCAUGAUACUCCUGUGACUUAAUUGUCACUGUUUUGUUGUGUUGCAGACAGGAUAUGUUGAAGAAGAGGCUGGCUCGUGAUUUCCCCCAGCUGGUGUUUCACAUCCCCACCAAGCGCAACAUCUGCCAGCUGGUUUUUGCAGAGACCCUGUCAACCGGGACACUCGCGUGACUCCACAAGUGCCUUUUAUGGCAAAGGGAAAAAAAGACAUUUUCUGUUGCAUGUGAGAAAGGUGAGUACCUAAAGGCUUUUAAAAGUUUAGGUACUCACUUUAACUUGGAGCAGUCAACAUUUGCACUUCUUUGCCAGUAUGUGUGCCACUUAUAUGAUCAGCCAGCUGCCGAUAAUGUAAAUGAAGCUAGGUACAAGGCUUUCUGUUUGGCAUCGUCAGCCUUGCCAGAAAUAUGCAUUCCCCCAACUACUGAUGCCCUCCAACAGCACUGCAAACGGGCAAACUACCAGGCUGCAAUAAUGAGGUCCUGUCGCAAACAAAAUGUGCUCCAUCACCUGCUGGAUAUGGUUGGCAAAGAGAGGAUGGGACCUUGCACAUCACCUGGAUGACCAGACAUCCGGCCCCUGACAGUGUUUUGCAUGUCAUACACUGCAGCUGCAAAGGUGCCUGUGAGACAGGAAGAUGUUCCCGUUUCUCUGCAGGAUUGUGUUGCACAGACUUCUGUCGUUGCUGUAAUUGUGCCAACACCAAAGACACCGAGCAACUGGAAGACAACUGUCCUGACACUGACUGUGAGGACUGAGCGUCCUUAAUGUUAUUUCUUUUGUAGUUUUGUACAGUUUUAUAUAUCAGUCAUAUUUUUCAUAAAGAUUGUUUCUAUUGUUCGUCAGUGUUGUUUUCAUUUGUGGAAGAAUUAAUGAAUGAAUAAAUGGUCAUUGGUGUAAGUACAA